rnacentral:tRNA from 1 species
AAUCCAUCAUUCCCGUAAAGAAUUUUAUCUUUAUUUGACUUUCUUUCUCAUUACUUAUUACUUAUUAUUUUCU